rnacentral:rRNA from 1 species
GACGAACGCUGGCGGCGUGCCUAAUACAUGCAAGUAGAACGCUGAAGCGAGGAGCUUGCUCUUCUUGGAUGAGUUGCGAACGGGUGAGUAACGCGUAGGUAACCUGCCUUGUAGCGGGGGAUAACUAUUGGAAACGAUAGCUAAUACCGCAUAACAAUGGAUGACACAUGUCAUUUAUUUGAAAGGGGCAAUUGCUCCACUACAAGAUGGACCUGCGUUGUAUUAGCUAGUAGGUGAGGUAAUGGCUCACCUAGGCGACGAUACAUAGCCGACCUGAGAGGGUGAUCGGCCACACUGGGACUGAGACACGGCCCAGACUCCUACGGGAGGCAGCAGUAGGGAAUCUUCAGCAAUGGGGGCAACCCUGACCGAGAAACGCCGCGUGAGUGAAGAAGGUUUUCGGAUCGUAAAGCUCUGUUGUAAGUCAAGAACGGGUGUGAGAGUGGAAAGUUCACACUGUGACGGUAGCUUAACAGAAAGGGACGGCUAACUACGUG